CCACUCCUGACCAGGGGUGUUAAACUCAAGGCUCGUGGACUGGAUCCAGACCGUAGGUUGCUUAAAUCUGGCCAAUGGGGCCAGCCUAGAAAUAGCAACGGACUGGCCCGCGGUGCCUCUGGCAGCCAAAACGGGGCACGGGGGAG